ensembl:lncRNA ZRANB2-DT ZRANB2 divergent transcript
GGUGGAGGCGGAAGUGACUGAUCAAUUCAGGGGCGUGGGGUUCGUUUAGGUUUUGCCCUGUGUAUGACCUCGUUUGGAGCCAUGAAACCAGGUCACCAUGUGUGAUGACUACAUCCAAAGAGAGUGAGUGGCUUGAGACAUUGGUAGUAUGUGUAUCUGAUCAUAUCAAUAUGUUAAAAUGACGUUCAAAGUAUGAUCUACCUCAGAAUAAUCUAGCCUCAAGCUUUAUUCUAGGAAGAUACAAGGGACAGAAUAGUUAGCAGUGUUCCUGUUGAAAGGUCCAAGUAUCUCCCUAGGCACAGAAAACACCCAAAUGAGCAAAGCAGACCUUGGUGGCCAGAGGGGAGCCCUCAGGUAGAGCUGCAGAUGCUGGCAGUUUGUGUUAGAAGGUUCCGGGGCUAAACAGAUGCCUAGAAUUAGCCACCAAAAGGUAAAUUGUAGACUCCACUCUUCAAGAAGCAGCAGAAGGAUUAGGAAUUCAAACAGUGCUAUUUUACGGUCAUAAGAACAGACAGUAUUUUUUUGGCGCAGCAAGAACUUCUUAGGCCAUAAAGCAUGACAGACCUCUUUUCCUUAUGCGCUGAAUUGAAGAAGUGCUGACUCUUUUGCUGAUGGUGGCUUUUCUACAAUAUAAAGAUGGAAAUGGGAAGAAGAUGUUCAUUGCAAAUUAAGGAAGCUCUUCCACGAGUUCACGAAUGGAAAUAACAUCAAGAGUUUUUCAUCUUCUUAGUGUGCAAGAUGUCUGAGGAAUAGUCUUAGUGGAUUAUCCCAAACUUGACACAUUUUUUGCAAAAUGCUAUACAAAAAGAAGAUACAUGCGAUUAUGACAAGAUUCUCCACUUGGUGUGACCAGUCUCAUACAACCCAAGGCUGUGUGUCCAAAGGCAACUGUACUGAUCUUGACAAUAAUC